rnacentral:tRNA from 1 species
GGGCCAUAUCUGGCAUACAAGUUGGGUUCAGCGGUCCUGUAAAUUCAAUGAUUUGAGUUGUGGAUAACUACUCACAGCGAUUUCUUAAACCGUGGGUCGGGAGUUCGAAUCUCCCAGGCCUACCA